ACGUAGGGUGCGAGCGUUAAUCGGAAUUACUGGGCGUAAAGCGUGCGCAGGCGGUUGUAUAAAUCAGAUGGGAAAUCCCCGGGGUCAAACUGGGAACAGCAUUUGAGACUGUACGGCUAGAGUGUGGCAGAGGGGGGUAGAAUUCCACGUGUAGCAGUGAAAUGCGUAGAGAUGUGGAGGAAUCCCGAUGGCGAAGGCAGCCCCCUGGGCCAAUACUGACUCUCAUGCACGAAAGCGUGGGGAGCAAACAG
rnacentral:rRNA from 1 species